rnacentral:rRNA from 1 species
GACGAACGCUGGCGACGUGCUUAACACAUGCAAGUCGAGCGGUAAGGCCCUUUCGGGGGUACACGAGCGGCGAACGGGUGAGUAACACGUGGGUGACCUGCCCUUAGCUCUGGGAUAAGCCUGGGAAACUGGGUCUAAUACCGGAUAUGACCUCAUGACGCAUGUUGUGGGGUGGAAAGCCUUGUGCGGCUAGGGGAUGGGCCCGCGGCCUAUCAGCUUGUUGGUGGGGUGAUGGCCUACCAAGGCGA